CAGUCCGGGACAUUUCUAUUUGGACAUAAAAAAUUUGAAUUUUCUGACAUUUAUACGUGUAUUCAGCGUCUAUGUGAACAAAAAAUGUUCUCUCUCUCAUUCUAUGGUCCUUGCGCUUUAAUAACAGGGACAUUUUUUAAAUUGGUAGCAUUAGAAAAUGACAGUAAACAGCUGACUGAUGUAAACAAUAACACAAUAACAAAGGAAAUGUUAUAAUUUUAAUCUAUAUAACCAGUGGCUGCUUUAAAAGUAGAAACAUUACUUGUCAUAUAACAACUACUUAGAUUAUAUGAUGAGACGGGAAUGGCACAACACAGAAUUGCAGUCAGUGAUUGUGCUGGAGAAAGCUGCUGUGACGUACUGACAGUACUGACUAUCGCUGGUUGUACGAUUUGUGCAAUUUGUGAUACAUUUUGUGUGAAAAACUGGAAAACAAAGUGCAUAACUGCAUAACCUCACUUAUCGCAGUCUUGCACAUUUUGAUGAUGGGAAUUGCGGUUCAAGUAAUUAUGAGUUAUAGAUGGAGCCCACUGUUUACUUCAAAAGGGUUAGCUGAAGCCUUUUGGGUCCACUUUUUUCGUUGUUAUUUCCUGAUAGCCACUCUUGUUUCAACCAGAAUGGCUGUAAAGUUAAAAAUAAUCCCAUAAAAUUGUUAAUAUAACUCCUUUGCACUGGCAUGGGGUAUUUGAAAACUUACGUUUAACAAAUACGUCACAAAGUCUCAGCCAUCGUCGAAAAACAUAUUAAGGACUUUAUAACAAAAAGCGCUUUCUGAUUUUUCUGUGGACGUGUGGAAGAAUAGUGUGAAAUAUUGAGAAAAAACAAGUUUUACUCUUGUUUACAUUUUUGUACGUCUCUAUCUGAGAGUAGUCGUCUUUUAUAAAAAAUAUAGCCUACUAAUAAAGGAAAUUAAAGUGUU